rnacentral:misc_RNA from 1 species
CUCAUCUUUAAUGACAGCCACCUUCAUUUUUUUUUUACAUAUACAUGCAUUUUUAAAUUCUUAGCGUAUAUGUUCAAAUCAAUAAUAUCUUGAGAUAAUAAAUCUUUGCUAAUGUCUUGCAGACCUAAACUCUAGCUCUAAUUCAGAGGAAUGUUGUCAAUUUUGUGAAACUGUUUGAGGAGAAUGACUGAUCUUGUUAAUGUAUCGACUAUUACUUACUGCCUUUUAUCAUAUUUGUUGUGAAAGUUUGGUAGCAAAGCUUAUAUGAGAAAUCCAUCUGGUGUGCGUGUGCAUGAAUGUGUAUUUAAGUUUUCUUUCUUAAAUGUAGUUAAUAUUAGGAUACUCAUUUAAUGGGAAGACAAACUUCUAACUGUACAUAUAUAAAAUUUUGUGCUCGUUUUUUAAGUACAUAUUUCUUUAUCUGUAAUUGCUAAACUUCCGUUUUGGCAGGG